CUHAAAGAUUAAGCCAUGCAUGUCUAAGUAUAAGCAUUUAUACAGCGAAACUGCGAAUGGCUCAUUAAAUCAGUUAUAGUUUAUUUGAUAGUACCUUACUACUUGGAUAACCGUAGUAAUUCUAGAGCUAAUACAUGCUAAAAGCCCAAACUUUUCGGAAUGGGUGCAUUUAUUAGAUAAAAAACCAAUGCAUGGGGGUAACUUCAUGGUAUUUUGGUGAUUCAUGAUAACUUUGCGAAUCGCAUAGCCUUGAGCUGGCGAUAAUUCAUUCAAAUUUCUGCCCUAUCAACUUUCGAUGGUAGUGUAGUGGACUACCAUGGUGAUAACGGGUAACGGAGAAUUAGGGUUCGAUUCCGGAGACGGUGCCUGAGAGAUGGCAACGACUUCCAAGGAAGGCAGCAGGCGCGCAAAUUACCCAAUCUCAAUACGAGGAGGUAGUGACAAUACAUAACAAUACAGGACUUGAAUAAAGUCUUGUAAUUGGAAUGAGUACAAUUUAAACCCCUUAACAAGGAACAAUUGGAGGACAAGUCUGGUGCCAGCACCCGCGGUAAUUCCAGCUCCAAUAGCGUAUAUUAAAGUUGUUGCAGUUAAAAAGCUCGUAGUUGGAUUUUAGAGUAUUAAAUUGUCGAAAGGAGAGCAAUCUUCUUUUCUUUUUAUUUUGGAGAAUCGGUCUACCUUUGGAUUAAAUUUCUUUUUUUUCAAAGGUGUGUACUAUUUUCCUUACUCUUCUUGUGGGUUUGGUUCAAUCUGCCCUUAACUGGGUGGAUUGUUUUUACCUCCCGCUCGUUUACUUUGAAAAAAUUAGAGUGUUUAAAGCAGGCGUUUUCCGCCCUGAAUACAUUAGCAUGGGAUAAUAGAAUAGGACUGUCUGUCUAUUUUGUUGGUUUCUAGAUGGAUAGUAAUGAUUAAUAGAGAUGGUUGGGGACAUUUAUAUUCCAUGGUCAGAGGUGAAAUUCUUGGAUUCAUGGAAGAUAAACAAGUGCGAAAGCAUUUGUCAAGGAUGUUUUCAUUAAUCAAGAACGAAAGUUAGGGGAUCGAAGACGAUCAGAUACCGUCGUAGUCUUAACCAUAAACGAUGCGGACCAGGGAUUGGGAGACGUUACGUGGAUGACUCCCCCAGCACCUUGUGAGAAAUCACGAGUCUUUGCGUUCCGGGGGGAGUAUGGUCGCAAGGCUGAAACUUAAAGGAAUUGACGGAAGGGCACCACCAGGAGUGGAGCCUGCGGCUUAAUUUGACUCAACACGGGGAAACUCACCAGGUCCAGACAUAGUAAGGAUUGACAGAUUGAGAGCUCUUUCUUGAUUCUAUGGGUGGUGGUGCAUGGCCGUUCUUAGUUGGUGGAGUGAUUUGUCUGGUUAAUUCCGAUAACGAACGAGACCUCAGCCUGCUAACUAGUGGGUUCAACCUUCUGCAUGGGUGAAUCUUUAAUUGUGUGGGAUCUUUGUAUUUCAUUCAAUUAAAGUGGAUCCUUGACGAGUUGGAUCUCUUAUUUUUUACUUCUUAGAGGGACUAUUCGCGUCUAGCGAGUGGAAGUUUGAGGCAAUAACAGGUCUGUGAUGCCCUUAGAUGUUCUGGGCUGCACGCGCGCUACAAUGACUAUCUCAACAAGUUCUUUUUUAACCUUGGCCGAAAGGUCUGGGUAAUCUUAUGAAAGGUAGUCGUGCUGGGGAUAGACUAUUGUAAUUAUUAGUCUUCAACGAGGAAUUCCUAGUAAGUGCAGGUCAUCAGCCUGCGCUGAUUACGUCCCUGCCCUUUGUACACACCGCCCGUCGCUCCUACCGAUUGAAUGAUCCGGUGAAAUCUUGGGAUUGGGAAGCAUACUUGGGGCAACUCAAGCAACUUACUAAGAACUUGCUUAAACCUUAUCAUUUAGAGGAAGGAGAAGUCGUAACAAGGUUUCCGUAGGUGAACCUGCGGAAGGAUCAUUA
rnacentral:rRNA from 1 species